rnacentral:rRNA from 1 species
GAUGAACGCUGGCGGCGUGCCUAAUACAUGCAAGUCGAGCGAACAGACGAGGAGCUUGCUCCUCUGACGUUAGCGGCGGACGGGUGGGUAACACGUGGAUAACCUACCUAUAAGACUGGGAUAACUUCGGGAAACCGGAGCUAAUACCGGAUAAUAUAUUGAACCGCAUGGUUCAAUAGUGAAAGACGGUUUAGCUGUCACUUAUAGAUGGAUCCGCGCCGCAUUAGCUAGUUGGUAAGGUAACGGCUUACCAAGGCAACGAUGCGUAGCCGACCUGAGAGGGUGAUCGGCCACACUGGAACUGAGACACGGUCCAGACUCCUACGGGAGGCAGCAGUAGGGAAUCUUCCGCAAUGGGCGAAAGCCUGACGGAGCAACGCCGCGUGAGUGAUGAAGGUCUUCGGAUCGUAAAACUCUGUUAUUAGGGAAGAACAAAUGUGUAAGUAACUAUGCACGUCUUGAAGGUACCUAAUCAGAAAGCCACGGCUAACUACGUG